rnacentral:rRNA from 1 species
UACGGGGGGGGCAAGCGUUGUUCGGAAUUACUGGGCGUAAAGGGCUCGUAGGCGGCCAACUAAGUCCGACGUGAAAUCCCCAGGCUUAACCUGGGAACUGCGUCGGAUACUGGAUGGCUUGAAUCCGGGAGAGGGAUGCGGAAUUCCAGGUGUAGCGGUGAAAUGCGUAGAUAUCUGGAGGAACACCGGUGGCGAAGGCGGCAUCCUGGACCGGCAUUGACGCUGAUGAGCGAAAGCCAGGGGAGCAAAGCGGG